rnacentral:lncRNA from 1 species
GAAUUUGUAGAAGGAAUUUGCAGAAGGCUCCUGCCACCUCUCUGAAGGGCGGGUGGUGAGAGCAGCCAGAUUCCAUCUCAAUGAAGAGUUGCAGCCUGGUGUCACGUUAGGUAAAGAGCAGUACCUGCCUCAGGGAAAGACUCCCCUAGAAGCAGGGAUUGUGCAGACCCAUCUCCACAUGCCUUGGGCAGCGCUGCUUCGGAAGCUUUCCUUGCUGUCAGUGCUGGAGUAGGAAAGCUGGUAAGCUGUGAGGAAAUAGGGCAUGUCUGAAACUGAGGAAUUCCACGGGAAAUUUACAAUAUUAUGUUAAAGGGGAAAAAAAAAAGCCAAGAGGGAGGAAGAAAAACCUGAUACAAUGAAUGCUUGGGUCAUGUAUUUUUCUGGAUUAGCUGUGCCACGGAAGGAGCCCAUAGACCCUAUGAAAUCCAUUCCCUGCAAGCCAGCGAACAUUUGUACAGCACAUGAUGUGGGAUCAUGGCUGAAGCCAAGUUCCCCAGGAUCAUAUCCACCCGGGAUAGAUUGGGUCAUUUCCAGUGUCAACAGCCAGAGGAUUAAGCAUUUAUCUCUGCAGAACAGGAUAAUUAAUACCAGAUCGAACUCGGGGCUGUGCUCUGAGCCCGUGGCUGAAUUUGUGCCCGAGUUGUGGGGAGUGGGAGGAUGUCCUGGGUGCUGCAAGAUGCAGGCAUUGCCUCGAGAUCCACGGGAAUGGCACUGGGAUGGCAUCAGGCUUCCCAGGUGAAGCUGAGGGGGAGCUCUGCUGUCGUGGCCACACGAGAUGAGUGUUCUCACCUCCGAGACUGCAGAGUGCAUCGAUGCACCAGUCCUCGUCUUGUGCACAUCGUAAAACCACAAAGGAUCAAGGCAGUGUCAGAGCAUCAAGAGAGAGAAGCUCCCGCUGGGAAGAUGUUGCCGAUCCUGCAGUCAUCCUGCUCUGCAGCCUCUCUUGUUUGGGCAGAAGCUAAUGGAGAAUCGUCAAAAAUGGUGUUUCUGAGUUCUCGCUGCUGUGAUGUGGAUGUGAAGAAAGUCAGGACACUGCAAAAGUAGAUCAGAUCAGGCAAUGAGUUCUCCCCAGCUCAUCUCACAAUCCUGGACUUCCUUUGAGUACAAAUCCAGCACCUUUCACCAGCAAUAAAAAUCACACAUUUUUCUACUUUAGCUUAGUUUUGAAAAAAAAAAAAAAAAAUCAAAAAAGCACAAAAUAAACUCUCCCUGGCAGAAUCCACCAGCUGUCCUGUAACUGCAUUUCAUUGUGAAACAGCUUUUCCUCAUCAGAGCUGUGCCCUGGAUGCCAUUUCUGG